UACGUAGGCAGCGAGCGUUGUUCGGAAUCACUGGGCGUAAAGCGCACGUAGGCGGAUCUUUAAGUCAGGGGUGAAAUCCCGAGGCUCAACCUCGGAACUGCCUUUGAUACUGGGGAUCUUGAGUCCGGGAGAGGUGAGUGGAACUGCGAGUGUAGAGGUGAAAUUCGUAGAUAUUCGCAAGAACACCAGUGGCGAAGGCGGCUCACUGGCCCGGAACUGACGCUGAGGUGCGAAAGCGUGGGGAGCAAACAGGG
rnacentral:rRNA from 1 species